rnacentral:rRNA from 1 species
GUAGUCUCGCACAGAUGCAUAUCAAUAAGCGGAGGAAAAGAAACUAACAAGGAUUCCCCUAGUAACGGCGAGUGAAGCGGGAAGAGCUCAAAUUUGAAAUCUUAAAGGGUUUCCCUUUACGAAUUGUAGUUUAAAGAAGUGUUUUCUGUUGAGGUUUUGGUAAAAGUUCUUUGGAAUAGGACAUCAUAGAGGGUGAGAAUCCCGUAUUUGACCUUUACUUUCAACUUUGUGAUACACUUUCAAAGAGUCGGAUUGUUUGGGAAUGCAGUCCAAAAUGGGUGGUAAAUUUCAUCUAAAGCUAAAUAUUGGCGAGAGACCGAUAGCGAACAAGUACCGUGAGGGAAAGAUGAAAAGAACUUUGAAAAGAGAGUUAAACAGUACGUGAAAUUGUCAAAAGGGAAGCGUUUGACACCAGUGUUGUUUUUCUGAAAAUCAAUUAAAGAACUGUUUAUGCUAAGUUGUUUAGACUUUAUCAGCUAAUCUGCUUAGUUUUGAGCUUUUCUUUAAUGCACUUUUCAGUUAACAAGUCAACAUCAAUUUCUUUUGCUGUAAAAAAGCUUGAGGAAGGUGGCUUGAGAUUCGUCUUAAGUGUUUAUAGCCUCUUGCCUAUGCAGUCGGAGAGAUUGAGGUCUGCAGCGUAGAUCCUUCGGGGCUAAAUGCAUUUGUGCUAAGUUAUAGCAUUUUAUAGACAACUUGUUGACUAUGAUUUGUCUUGUAGCUUACUCGCUUAUGUUAUUUUACCUACGCUUAGGAUGUUGACGCAUGAGAUAUACGC